AUCUCUAUUGCAUUUUAGUCACUUCAAUUUUACUUGUCCUUGAAUACUUAUUUUUUAAGCAGAUUUUGAAUUUUCAAUAUUUAGUUCUAUGGUCUUAAUGUAUGCUGACCGUUGUUACUAGAAAUUUUUGUCUCUAACUAAGAUCCUGCUCCUAUUCCAUCAAAAACAAAAAACAAAAACAAAACAAAAAGAUAACCUAGAAAACCAGUUUCUAUGUUUUCAGUCUUGCCAUAGUAUAUCAAAAAUUAGCUGAUCUUUUCUUUAUUGAGCUUUUAUAUUUUUAAAGGUGAUGCUAGAAAAGAAUUUUUCCCGAAAUAGAAUUACAAAUUGCUUUUUAAAAGGCCUCUUUCCAUAGCAUUGCUUGGGUAAGACUAAUGGAACAACUAGUUAUAGCUCACUCCUUCUGUAAUCAUUUUGAACUUCAAAGUUCCUAGUUUUAAGCUCUGGUUCAGUCCCAUCUUACUAGAUUUAAGUGGUUUUUGUUUUGUUUUGUUUUGUUUUUCAUGCAGGUUCUGCUCAUUAAUCACCACGAGUGUGGAUCUGAAGAAGAGUUUAUUACCUCUCUUUUUUUGAGUAUGUCUAACUUCAGAUACACACAACGUAGCCUCCUUCCCUAUUAGAUUCUUAGAAGGUAGUUAUAUUUUUUUAUAGUCUCCUUCUUGUGGCUUUGACAGUUGUGAACAAUAAGAGUAAAAGCUGUUCCUUUCAUAGUGGGCUACUGCAUGCAAAUCAGUUCACCUGAAACCUCCUGGAGGUCUUUGGCAUACCAGACAUAAGUAUACAAGUGUUUAUUUGUGGAGGUAACCAUGUUCCAACAAAAUCUGAGAGCUAAAUUCUUUUAUCCAGAACCUGGGAGAGUUAUCCUUUCACUCCUGGGAAUCACUGACUUUAAGGGGCUUGGUUUUUUGGUUUUUUUUGUGUGUGAUUUUUCAAAAUUUGCUAGGAUGGGAAAUGAUAAAUUAGAAAUUUUGUGGUAUGGCAUAUUAUGAACGAGAACUAGAAAUUAGCUUGUUCAAUCUGUUAUAAAUUUAACAAAACAUACUUAUCAUGCCUUGUUAGAUAAAUAUUAAUGAACCUAUAUUUUUCAUGUUUGCAACUUUUAGACAAGUGGAUGUAAUUUUUGUCUUGUACAUGAAUGAACAAAGUAUGAUACAUAAAAUCCAUUCUUUUAUAUUUAGGGCUGGAAAAAGGAAAGAAUUCUUGCUGAAUAUCCUGAUGGUAGAAUAAUAAUGGUUCUUCCUGAAGACCCAAAGUAUGCCCUGAAAAAGGUAACUUUUUAGUAAAAUUUCAUACAGAAAACUUAAGAGGAUAAUACAUUGCAGGUUUUGCACAUUAAAUGCCAAUUCUGAAUUAAAGAAGGUAAUCUACCCAAAGAAAAAAUGAAUACAAUUAAUUUGAAAUGAAUUGAAAAAUUAUGCCAAACCUUACUACCUAUAAAAUAUAUGAAGUAGUUUGAAAUAUUUCCUGUGAACAAUGUGAGUGAUUACAUGGAAGGCAUAAUUACGUCUUUAGUAGUUGAUAGAAUUUACUUUAUUGAGAAAUGAAUUAGAUAAUGCAGCAUGGCACUGUUUUGUCUUACAGAAUAUUUUGAAAAGGACCAUGGCAUAAACUAGUGUGCAAGCCUCUAGAGUUUAAUCACCAUUAAUG
rnacentral:lncRNA from 1 species